UACGAGGGGGGCGAGCGUUGUUCGGAAUUAUUGGGCGUAAAGGGUGCGUAGGCGGUUUGGUAAGUCUUAUGUGAAAUCUAUGGGCUCAACUCAUAGACUGCAUGAGAAACUGCCGGGCUUGAGUAUGGGAGAGGUGAGUGGAAUUCCUGGUGUAGCGGUGAAAUGCGUAGAUAUCGGGAGGAACACCUGUGGCGAAAGCGGCGCACUGGACCACAACUGACGCUGAGGCGCGAAAGCUAGGGGAGCAAACAGG
rnacentral:rRNA from 1 species